UACUACUUGGUAGUUUAAAAUUCUAGGUAGAAUUAUGAUGAUGACRUUAUCUAUCUAUUAGUCUUGACCAAAUUACGUGCCAGCAGUCGCGGUAAUACGUAGAAGACAAGUGUUAUUCAUCUUUAUUAGGUUUAAAGCGUACCAAGACGGUUAAUAAAGCCCAAAAUAAAUGAAUACGGGGGACACAUUAACUAGAGUUAUAUGAAAGGAAGCUCUAAGGUACUGUUGAGUGUAGAGAUGAAAUUCUUUGAUACCAGAUGAUUGGCACAGAUUAAUGCGAAGGCAUCUUCUUAUGUAAUAACUGACGUUGUAGGACGAAGGCUUAGGAAGUGAACAGGAUUAGGUACCCCAGUAAUCUAGGCAGAAAAUGAUGAAUGUCAUAGGUUGAAUAUAUAUUAUUGUGUCUAUAAAUGAAAGUGUAAGCAUUCCACCUCAAGAGUAAUUUGGCAACAUUGGAACUGAAAUCAUUAGACCGUGUCUGAAACCAGUAGUGAAGUAUGUUGUUUAAUUAGAUGAUACACAAGAACCUUACCACAAAAUGAAUAUAUAUAAAAUAUAUUUACAAGCGCUGCACGGCUGUCUACAGUUAAUGUCGUGAGACUUUGGUUAGCUCCAGGAAAUUGACGUAAACCCUAAU
rnacentral:rRNA from 1 species